UACGUAGGGAGCAAGCGUUGUCCGGAAUCAUUGGGCGUAAAGCGCGCGUAGGUGGCUUCGUAAGUCCGUUGUGAAAGUCAAAGGCUCAACCUUUGAAAGCCGAUGGAUACUGCGGAGCUAGAGUACGGAAGAGGCGAGUGGAAUUCCUGGUGUAGCGGUGGAAUGCGCAGAUAUCAGGAGGAACACCAAUAGCGAAGGCAGCUCGCUGGGACGUUACUGACGCUGAGACGCGAAAGCGUGGGGAGCAAACAGG
rnacentral:rRNA from 1 species